ACUCAAAACCACACGCCCGAUCUCAUCUGAUCUCAGAAGCUAAGCAUGGUCGGGCUUGGUUAGUACUUGGAUGGGAGACCGCCUGGGAAUACCAGGUACUGCAAGUG
rnacentral:rRNA from 10 species